rnacentral:tRNA from 1 species
GGGCCGGUAGUUCAGUGGUACGAACGCCCGCCUUGCACGCGGGAGGUCGAGGGUUCAAGUCCCUCCCGGUCCA